rnacentral:rRNA from 1 species
UUACANUAGCCGUUGUUUCUUGGAUCCUCAAUUUACUUGGAUACCUGUGGUAAUUCUAGAGCUAAUACAUGCGACUAAGGGCCGAACUCACGUGACGCUUGCAUUUAUUAGAUCAAGACUAACCGGCUUCGGCCGUUAACUUGGUGACUCUGAAUAACUCAGCUGAUCGCACGGUCUAGUGCCGGCGACAUAUCUUUCAAGUGUCUACCUUAUCAACUGUCGAUGGUAGUUUAUGUGACUACCAUGGUUGUAACGGGUAACGGAGAAUCAGGGUUUGACUCCGGAGAGGGAGCCUGAGAAACGGCUACCACUUCUAAGGAAGGCAGCAGGCGCGCAAAUUACACAAUCUCAGCACGAGGAUGUAGUGACGAAACAUACCGAGGCGAUGCCCUUUCGGGUGUCGUCAUUGGAAUGAGUCGAAUCUAAAAAAUUCGGCAAGGAUCUAGUGGAGGGCAAGUCUGGUGCCAGCAGCCGCGGUAAUUCCAGCUCCGCAAGUGUAUAUCUAUGCUGUUGCGGUUAAAAAGCUCGUAGUUUGAUUCGCGUACUUAGCACGCAGUGUGGCCUUUCGGCUACUACUGUGAUGCGGUACAUUAUCGUCAGUUUGUCGUUGAUGCUCUUCAUUGGGUGUCAGCGGCGGCUGUCAAGUUUACUUUGAACAAAUUAAAGUGCUCAAUACAGGCGUUUCGCUUGUAUAGUUCUGCAUGGAAUAAUAGAAUAGGACUUACGUUCUAUUGUGUUGGUUUUCAGAACGAAAGUAAUGAUUAAGAGGGACAGACGGGGUCAUUCGUACUGCCACGUUAGAGGUGAAAUUCUUGGAUCGUGGCAAGACGAACUACUGCGAAAGCAUUUGACAAGAAUGUUUUCAUUAAUCAAGAACGAAA